rnacentral:rRNA from 1 species
GACGAACGCUGGCGGCGUGCCUAAUACAUGCAAGUAGAACGCUGAAGGAGGAGCUUGCUUCUCUGGAUGAGUUGCGAACGGGUGAGUAACGCGUAGGUAACCUGCCUGGUAGCGGGGGAUAACUAUUGGAAACGAUAGCUAAUACCGCAUAAUAGUAGAUGUUGCAUGACAUUUGCUUAAAAGGUGCAAUUGCAUCACUACCAGAUGGACCUGCGUUGUAUUAGCUAGUUGGUGAGGUAACGGCUCACCAAGGCGACGAUACAUAGCCGACCUGAGAGGGUGAUCGGCCACACUGGGACUGAGACACGGCCCAGACUCCUACGGGAGGCAGCAGUAGGGAAUCUUCGACAAUGGACGGAAGUCUGACCGAGCAACGCCGCGUGAGUGAAGAAGGUUUUCGGACCGUAAAGCUCUGUUGUAAGAGAAGAACGAGUGUGAGAGUGGAAAGUUCACACUGUGACGGUAUCUUACCAGAAAGGGACGGCUAACUACGUGCCAGCAGCCGCGGUAAUACGUAGGUCCCGAGCGUUGUCCGGAUUUAUUGGGCGUAAAGCGAGCGCAGGCGGUUAGAUAAGUCUGAAGUUAAAGGCUGUGGCUCAACCAUAGUACGCUUUGGAAACUGUUUAACUUGAGUGCAAGAGGGGAGGGUGGAAUUCCAUGUGUAGCGGUGAGAUGCGUAGAUAUAUGGAGGAACACCGGUGGCGAAAGCGGCUCUCUGGCUUGUAACUGACGCUGAGGCUCGAAAGCGUGGGGAGCAAACAGG